CAGCUACCCUAUAGUUGGCUGCCUGGCUUCAGAGCUUUUUUUGAACUUGGAAGACUUCAAGCCCCAACUGAGGAAUCCUUGAUGCUCUGUUGUUUUGUCUUGCUAAAAUGUACAAGAAACUUGCACAGCUCUGUCCUUCAGGCUUAAAAUCAUCCCAGCAGGGAGGUCACUCUAAGUUCCUUUUAAUGUGUGCUGAAGAAAGGGCAGCACAGCUGAAGCCUGAUUUAAAAUCUGAUCUUCUCCCUAAUGUCACAAGGACAUCCUGAGACAAUGGCUGAGGAGCUAUGCACCAGUACCCAGCUGGAUCCCUGAUACUUACAUUGGCAGAUGCAUUAUCAACAGAGACAUCGAUUUAGAGUGAAUUAAGGAAUUACAAAGAUCAAGAUGAAUUCAGUGAAGCUUCCCAUAGGACUGUUCAAAGAUCUCCAGAGGCCUGCCAUUCAUGCAUUCAUGUGAGAGAGACACUUUGGGCCUAAGAAAUGAAG
rnacentral:lncRNA from 1 species